rnacentral:rRNA from 1 species
CCUACGGGACGCACCAGUGGGGAAUAUUGCACAACGGGCGCAAGCCUGAUGCAGCCAUGCCGCGUGUAUGAAGAAGGCCUUAGGGUUGUAAAGUACCUUCAGUUGGGAGGGAGGCGUUGAUGCUAAUAUCAUCAACGAUUGACGUUAUCAACAGAAGAAGCACCGGCUAACUCCGUGCCAGCAGCCGCGGUAAUACGGAGGGUGCAAGCGUUAAUCGGAAUUACUGGGCGUAAAGCGCACGCAGGCGGUUGAUUAAGUUAGAUGUGAAAUCCCCGGGCUUAACCUGGGAAUGGCAUCUAAGACUGGUCAGCUAGAGUCUUGUAGAGGGGGGUAGAAUUCCAUGUGUAGCGGUGAAAUGCGUAGAGAUGUGGAGGAAUACAGGUGGCGGAGGCGGCCCCCUGGACAAAGACUGACGCUCAGGUGCGAAAGCGUGGGGAGCAAACAGGAUUAGAUACCCGUGUAGUC